AGUCCAAAAGUUAGCUGCUUCAACCAUCAUGAAAGGUACAGAAACUCUAGGAUGAAUACACUUAGUAUUUUUUAUUAUUUAUUUAUUUAUUUUUUAGACGGAGUCUCACUCUGUCUGUCCCCCAGGCUGGAGUGCAGUAGUGCAAUCUCGGCUCACUGCAACCCCCACCUCCCGGGUUGAAGCAAUUCUCCUGCUUCAGCCUCUCAAGUAGCUGAGAUUACAGUACACUUUGUACUUUAAUAUGCAAACUGCCUGCCUGCUCCAGAGAAGCAGCCUUUGUUCCUCAGUUCAUCGCAACACUCAGCCUGUCAGUCAGGUUGUGGGAUCCCUCCUAUCCAGGAACUGUAUGCUGUUGUCCCGGUUCUGACACUUUCCCUCUGAGUCCUUGGACACCUUACCUAACCUCUUGGAAGCUCCUGUCUGUGAAGGGUGUGCACAGAGAGCUUCGGUAGCCUGCGAAGCAGCCAUUUUCACUUCCACGGAGCAGUCCUCAGAAGUUCUUCUGGUUAAAAUCAUCUAAAAAGUUGUUUCAAGUCUCCAGAACAGCUGAGAUCAGCAAAAAUAAAUGAAGCUUCUUCUGUGUGGGUGCAGAUGCUGGCCUGGGUGCUGGAAUAUGGAAAUGAGGAAGAUCCUGCCUGAGGAUUUCAUGACAGUGCUGCGAUUACCGACGUGAGCCACUGUGCCCAGCCUCACUUUAAAAAAAAAAAAAGGUUAUGAAGCAUCUCAACACAAGACCUCCUUUGCUCAUCACAACCACCCAGUGAAGCAGGCAAGACAACAGAAACUCCCCACCUGUGAUAGAUGUGAGGCCUGAAGUCUCCCACAUACCCACGGCAGAUGCAACGCACAGCGGUGACCAAUGGACAUGGUCCAAGCAGACCCUUUCCUGAGACUUUCUAAAUGGAGCUGUGUGAGAAGAGUUCCUUUCUGUUUUGCCUCUGGAGCUGAAGGUUGAGAACUCAGAGCUGCCCGUGUUCUACCCUGUGAAAAUAAAGGCAAUCAAUUCACAGAGACAAGCAGAAACAAGGCGUCCAGAGCAAGUCCUUCACAUCACCCUGGACACCCUGGCCCUGAUUUCCACUCCCUGCCAGGCUUGUUUGUCCAAUUCUUCUUUUUGUUCCAAGCACCAUCCCAGCAGGCUUAGUUACCUGUAAGCAUUUGGUUAAUCUCUCUUCUCAGCUAGACCGUAGGCUCCCCGAGUGCAGAAACUAUGUUUAUUUUGGUCUCUGCUGGAUCUCCAGCACCUAAAUAAAUGUUUAUGGUUGACUGCAAGGCAGAUCUGUGUGGGGAAUGAAGAAGAGUAUUAAGACCUCCCAGAUGGGCUGCUGGAGGCCUGUCCAAGGUGGAACUUUGCAUGGUGAGAAAUGCAAUUCAGUAGGAAAACAAAGAACUCCUUCAUCCUCCUCUAGAUUCUGCAGGCAAGUGAUCAGCUCAAGGUGAAGGAUCUAAAACCUGAAAAGAGGCCAAAUGAUUCCUCAAAACCACGCAAGUACGAAGUAGCAGAGCGGAUCUCAAAUCCAGGUUGGUUUCCUUUUUACAACUGCCCAAGUCAUGAGUUCAUAGGGCCUGGAUGGCUGUACCGGAUUGCUCUCCAGCUGGUCUCUCUGCAUCCAGAAAUUUCUACAACCUACUGGGAAGCAAGCAGCAUGCUGGAGACCCUCAAAUACAUGUGAAAUGAAGGGACACCUUGUGUUAUUUCACCUGUUUCCACCUGGUUCCCAAGUGGCAAGCUUGCAUUGAGGUUACAAAGUGGCAAAGCUGGGAUAUCACAUGAUGUCACCAUGAUGCUAUAUGAAAUGUAACAUUAAUUGAGUACCUAUGUGACCAGUUCUUUAAUUCUGUAAGUGAACUCUCAAAAAACCCUAGGUAAGUAUUAUCAACUCGAACUUUAACGGAUGAGGAAACUGGAAUUUUUUAAAAAAUGACUUAACCAAACAUCACAGAGCUGUAAACCAGGAUUUGAAUGGGUGAGCUGCACUCAGCCUUCAUCUCAAGUCAGUUUGCCUCUUUCUCCAAGAAGCCACAGUUGAUCCUGACCACAUCACAUAUGAGUUGCCUGGAUUGCAGUCAUUCAUUCACUAAGCAUCUUUUAGGAGGUCACAUGCCAGGCACCGUGUUAGGUAAUGAUUUCUCCAAGUCACAGGAGCCGUGGUUCUGACUUUAGAAAGUUUCUCAUCUGAUGGGAGGGCAGGCAAGUAAAUCAGUAAGGGUGGUCCCUGUCGGGACACUGGUUGAGAAAUACCCAGGAACACUCUGAUUGAGAAAUACCCAAAGUGCAAAGUGACAGGGACUAGAGGCAUCUCCACUGGACCAGAGAGCUCUGGAUUCGUCUUGAGCUAAGUCUCUGGAGGUAGGUGUCAGCUACAAGGAGAAAAGCUGUAUAUUUUGAGAUAUGGGAUGCAGGGCCUUUUAGUUCCAUAAAUAAGAGAACUAUGGUGUGAAUACCACAUGCCCUGGGCUGAACUAAGUGGGCUCUAGGGGAAGGUAUACUGGGCAGGGAGUUUGGAGAACUGGUUUCUGUCUAAUCCUUCUCUAACUCUGUGACCUUGAAUGCAUCAUUUCCCCUCUGAGUCUCAGAUUCUCUUUCUGGCUGGCAUUUAAUGAAACCUAAAUAUUCUAGACCUUCUACUUGUUCCAUAAGUGCUCAGUCCUACACUCACUCUCCUCUGGCACCAAUAUACUGAUUACUCAUUUUAUGCCCAGCAGAGCACUGCGUGUUUUGAAAUAUACAAAUAGUGGGAAACGAAAUCUUUGUUCUGGAUGCAGUUAUAAUUUGGAAAGCGAGGAAAUAAAUUAUAACAAGGGGAAAAAACAGACACAGAGGGAUUGAAAUGCAUAACAAUAGAGAUGAAACACGAAGAGUGAUAAAUGAAGAUUGAGUGUGCACACCUUCUGGAGGAGCCCUGAUUGAGUAUUUUAACACAGAAGUGGGUGAGAGCAAAGUUGUGUCAGAGUAAGACAAUGACACCAAGCCAGAUGGUUAUCAAAAUCCACAGGAACAAAUGAAGAGAACCAGAAAUUGCAAAUAAGAAGGACAGAGUACCAGAGAGGAGAGAGAGGUACAGAGAAUUAUGGAGGUGGCUUCCGUUGAGUAUGCAGCUAAGUAAUGAUUAAUGCAUACAUAUAAGAAACUACUGGAUGACAGAGAAAGAACCACAAGCAAUUUAAAGAAUACUACUAAAGUCAUGCCGUGUGACUUCUGAAGCUAGCUCCUAAGAAGUCCUUGCAGCUUCUGCCUGCGACUCUUAGAACACUUGCUUUGAAGGAUGCCAGAUGCUGUCUUAAAAGUCUGAGCACUCUGAAACCAUCAUGCUGUGAGGAAGCCCAAGCUAACCACAUGGGCAAAAAAGAUGCCCUCUGACUGCCACCAUUUGAGACACUCUAAUUAAGAACUGCCUCAUUGAGCCCAUGAGGCCCUGUGAAUGAUAAUAAUAAAUUGUUUUUAACCACUAUGUUUUUGGAUUUGUUAUAAGUUUAUAGAUAACAAGAAAAAGUUAUAUUAGCAUGGUAAUAAAAUUAUGGAUAUGUGUAAGUUUGGUGUUUUGUUUCUUUUUUUUUUUUACACUAAGCCUAUAUUACUGUUGUAAUUUAGGAAAUCACUUGUUUUCCUCCAGCACUUCAAUGUAAGAGUGGCACUACUUAGAAUGUACUUCUUAAGAUAUGGCU
rnacentral:lncRNA from 10 species